GGCCCCGUAGCUCAACCGGAUAGAGCACCUGCCUUCUAAGCAGGGUGUUGCGUGUUCGAGUCACGCCGGGGUCGCCA
rnacentral:tRNA from 1 species